GGCACGCUGCAGACUCAGAGACCACCCUAGCUCAGCCCUAGCCCUGAAGGAGAUAAGGAUGUGCUAAGGAGCAGAAAGGAUGUGUACCUUAAAUAAGCAAUUACAAAGCUUGUCUUCAAUGUGCCCUUGAAGUAGCUCUGUCAAGUACGGAAGAGAUGCAGCACUAUUCCAAUCUUAGAAAUAAUGAAAUUGAGGCCCAGAGAAGUUAUGUGGCAGCAUGUCCCAUCUAUGGUGUCUGAGGGGAUGGCACCACUUGACCACGACCACAGAACUCCACCUGCAGCACUAAGGGGGCUUCCCAAAGUCUCCCCCCAAGUCAUCGGCGGUUCCCUGGAGCUCCCUCCUCUUCAGCUUGAAUUGGACGGAGGGAGAUGAGGUUCCUAGCAGGCCAGGGCUAUACACUGGGGCCUUCUCCAGGACGACAACUUAGUUGAACUUCACUUCAAAACCUCAGCACCUAACAGUGCACCUGGCAUACAGCAGAAACUCAAAAAGGCCAGUGGAAUGAAUAGAUGUAUGUGAUGUAAGUCUGAUUCUCUUGAAUUCCUUAAUCAACCAUGAGCUUUAUUCAGGAAAA